UAACAAGAGAUCUCUCUGCUAACUGAAUCGAUUCUUGUCUGUCACGUGACGUUCAGUCUGAGCAAUACAGCUGAAAGAACACAAUGCGAGAUUUAUUCGCACGUGAUGUAUUUUUAUUUUUUUGCUUUAUAUUUUUAGGCGUCUCUUUACAGCAAUGAUAGGAAAAUGUGUUCAUGAGGAGUAAGUGCUUUACUGCUGUUUAUUUUAAACAAAAAUGGACGGAAAUACAACUUCAAUGUGCAAUCCAAAAACGUCACAACGUCAUUUACAUACACAAGUCGGCGGAUGACAAGUGCCGAUGACAUCACCUCACUUAUCCUCAAUUUCCCGCGAAAGACCUACAGCUGUGAUUAAUGAGCAGAGUCACUGGAUUGAGACAGCAUGCUGGCUGCACACAGGAGCAGAAGACGCACCAAACCGCUUUAGGAUGUUGAGCAUCACAUUUAUUGCAAAACAGACAAGACUGGGCUUCAAGAGAAAUUUAUGAAUAAAUAUAAAGGCAAGAUGUUUCCAUAUUCAUUCAUAUUCAAUUUACCAAUAACAAUAAUGGCCACUUAAUAUCAGGUUCAUAGGUUGCCAGUAUAAUAAUAUUUACUGAUGCAGUCAAAUUUCACAAUGUAGCUAUAAUAAACUAUAUUUGUGUAAAUGUAUGGAAUGACAGCCCUGUGCUGCAGCCAUAUAUAAGUCUGCAUAUGUAUAAUAUAAUGUAAAAGUAGCACAACAAACUUCUUCAUUUUAGUGUGAAAAUUAAAUAGUUGUACAGUUUUAAAGGAAGUUUCUUUAAUAAUAAUAAUAAUAGUUCACAUUACAGGGACUGCUGAGCUGAGUUUUCUCCUUGGAGGAGUUCUUCAGAGGAGAUUUUGUUCUUGAGUACAGAGCUGAACUGAGUUCACAGGAGAGUCUUGCUCAGGCUGAAGUCUACAGUGAAGUUCAGAACACAUUCGUGUUGGAUUUUCAGUGGCAUGGCAGACAUUGGUUGUGAGUAUACAUCGCAUCAUAAUCGUAGAUCAGGGGUGCUCAACCCUGCUCCUGGCGAUCGACUGUCCUACAAAGUUGAUCACCAAUCCUAAUCAAACACACCUGAAGCAACUAAAUAAGGUCUUCAGGCUCACUUAAAAAUUAAAGGCAGGUGUGUUUGAUUAGGGUUGGAGCCAAACUUUGCAGGACAGUCGAUUGCCAGGAACAGGGUUGGACACCCCUGUCGUAGAUGAAUCGCAUUCGGUUAUGAACGCAAUAUUGCAUAGUCAUAUGCAUAUGGUCAGUGAACUACGGCUCCAUUUGAAAGCAGGUGAUGGACAUUUACUGCUAAUCACAGAACCAGCUUUACUGACAAGACACGCAUGACGAUCACAUGUGAUUAAUCCUGCAGCCCUAGCUAGGGCCUAUAUUUGAUGCCUGCAGGACUCUAUUCCACUUCAUCCAUUCAACAGAUUCAGCACCAUCGCCACGGACAGCUCCUGGUAGAGUCGCACGUAAGGUAUAUCUUAAACAGCUUCCUAUAAGGUAUGGUUGGGGGAACACUCCUAGAAAUGGUAUUUAGUUAAGUUAUACGUUAGGAGUCUUUAUAGCGACUCUAAGAGACAACGUUAUCGAGAAACGCAGCCCUGAAAUUAUACUAGAUCAGCUGAGUGGUGGGCUGUGUUUCUCGAUAACGUUGUCUCUUA
ensembl:lncRNA